rnacentral:rRNA from 1 species
AUUGAACGCUGGCGGCAGGCCUAACACAUGCAAGUCGAACGGUAACAGGAAGCAGCUUGCUGCUUUGCUGACGAGUGGCGGACGGGUGAGUAAUGUCUGGGAAACUGCCUGAUGGAGGGGGAUAACUACUGGAAACGGUGGCUAAUACCGCAUAAUGUCGCAAGACCAAAGAGGGGGACCUUCGGGCCUCUUGCCAUCGGAUGUGCCCAGAUGGGAUUAGCUAGUAGGUGGGGUAAAGGCUCACCUAGGCGACGAUCCCUAGCUGGUCUGAGAGGAUGACCAGCCACACUGGAACUGAGACACGGUCCAGACUCCUACGGGAGGCAGCAGUGGGGAAUAUUGCACAAUGGGCGCAAGCCUGAUGCAGCCAUGCCGCGUGUAUGAAGAAGGCCUUCGGGUUGUAAAGUACUUUCAGCGGGGAGGAAGGGAGUAAAGUUAAUACCUUUGCUCAUUGACGUUACCCGCAGAAGAAGCACCGGCUAACUCCGUG